AACGAACGCUGGCGGCAGGCCUAACACAUGCAAGUCGAACGCUCCAGCAAUGGAGAGUGGCAGACGGGUGAGUAACGCGUGGGAACCUUCCCUAUGGUUCGGAAUAGCUCAGGGAAACUUGAGGUAAUACCGGAUAAGCCCUUCGGGGAAAGAUUAUCGCCAUUGGAUGGGCCCGCGUAGGAUUAGCUAGUUGGUGAGGUAACGGCUCACCAAGGCGACGAUCCUUAGCUGGUCUGAGAGGAUGAUCAGCCACACUGGGACUGAGACACGGCCCAGACUCCUACGGGAGGCAGCAGUGGGGAAUAUUGGACAA
rnacentral:rRNA from 1 species